UGGGGAAUAUUGCACAAUGGGGGAAACCCUGAUGCAGCGACGCCGCGUGAACGAAGAAGGUAUUCGUAUCGUAAAGUUCUGUCCUAUGGGAAGAUAAUGACAGUACCAUAGAAGAAAGCUCCGGCUAAAUACGUGCCAGCAGCCGCGGUAAUACGUAUGGAGCGAGCGUUGUCCGGAAUUAUUGGGCGUAAAGGGUACGCAGGCGGUUUAAUAAGUCGAAUGUUAAAGAUCGGGGCUCAACCCCGUAAAGCAUUGGAAACUGAUAAACUUGAGUAGUGGAGAGGAAAGUGGAAUUCCUAGUGUAGUGGUGAAAUACGUAGAUAUUAGGAGGAGUACCAGUAGCGAAGGCGACUUUCUGGACACAAACUGACGCUGAGGUACGAAAGCGUGGGGAGCAAACAGG
rnacentral:rRNA from 1 species